ACAACCAACUCAAAGCUCUUACUAGUGAGCACCUGCAGGCUGCAGUGCCAGAGAGAGAGGUAUGGCAACAUCAGUAGAGAUCAUGAACCCCAGCACUGAGGUUCUUGAGACUGCAGCCACCUCAGUGUUCCAGCCAGGGAAGCUUGCGAUCGAGGUGAUUCCUGUGGAUCAUGACACAAAUCCGACACCACCAAUUCCGAUCUUGAUUGCCUCUCCCAAGGAUGCAGGAACAUACCCGGUCGCCAUGCUCCUGCAUGGUUUCUGCCUCCAGAACCAUUUCUAUAAACAAGUUCUCAAACAUAUUGCCUCUUUUGGCUUCAUCAUGGUUGCACCCCAGGUUAACUAUCACUGCCUUCUAAUGUAUUUUACAUGCACUGUAUAGUCUAUGUUGAUUCAGAAACGUAGAAACUGUGAUGAUUACAGCAAGAUACCACACUAGAUCACAACUGCAUAAUCACGAUGAGAAUUCAUGUACUGACUUUUUUGGGAUACGAUUGGUUCACCCCAUGUCUGUUGGCUGACAUAAAUCAUGCAACUCUGUAAUUCUAUUGGCAGUUCCAUAUCAGCAUAUUGGCCAAAGGUGACACCGAGGACAUAGCCGCAGCAGCUGAAGUGACAGAUUGGCUCGCUAAGGGGCUACCAUCCAUCCUGCCCAAAGGCGUCGAGCCGAACCUUUCCAAGCUCGCUUUGGCCGGCCACAGCCGAGGUGGCCACACAGCGUUCUCUCUUGUCCUGGGGCAUGGCAAGACCAAUCUCAAGUUCUCUGCUCUCAUUGGUCUUGAUCCUGUUGCUGGCACAGGCAAGUCUUCGCAAAUCUCACCCAAGAUCCUCACCUACGAGCCCUCCUCUUUUGACAUAGCGAUGCCCGUCUUGGUCAUCGGCACUGGGCUGGGAGAGGAGAAGAAGAACAUACUAUUUCCUCCCUGCGCUCCCAAGGAUGUUAACCACAGGGAGUUCUACCACGAGUGCAGGCCACCUUGCUACUACUUUGUGACCAAGGACUAUGGACAUCUCGACAUGCUAGAUGACGAUGCUCCAAAGUUCAUGACCUGCAUGUGCAAAGACGGCAAAAACUGCAAGGACCUGAUGAGGAGGACCGUUGCUGGCAUCAUGGUAGCGUUCUUGAAGGCUGUGCUUAAUGAAGAAGAUGGUGAUCUUAGAGUCAUAAUGAAGGACCCUAAGCUCACACCAACCACAGUCGACCCUGUUGAGCACCGUCUGGCAUGAGCAGGAAGACCAUAAAUCAUAAGGACUUAUUGAGUUAAACAUAAGUG
rnacentral:lncRNA from 1 species